GAUGAACGCUGGCGGCGUGCCUAAUACAUGCAAGUCGAGCGAACGGCGAGAAGCUUGCUUUUCUGAUGUUAGCGGCGGACGGGUGAGUAACACGUGGAUAACCUACCUAUAAGACUGGGAUAACUUCGGGAAGCCGGAGCUAAUACCGGAUAAUAUUUUGAACCGCAUGGUUCAAAAGUGAAAGACGGUCUUGCUGUCACUUAUAGAUGGAUCCGCGCUGCAUUAGCUAGUUGGUAAGGUAACGGCUUACCAAGGCAACGAUGCAUAGCCGACCUGAGAGGGUGAUCGGCCACACUGGAACUGAGACACGGUCCAGACUCCUACGGGAGGCAGCAGUAGGGAAUCUUCCGCAAUGGGCGAAAGCCUGACGGAGCAACGCCGCGUGAGUGAUGAAGGUCUUCGGAUCGUAAAACUCUGUUAUUAGGGAAGAACAUAUGUGUAAGUAACUGUGCACAUCUUGACGGUACCUAAUCAGAAAGCCACGGCUAACUACGUG
rnacentral:rRNA from 1 species